CUAAUCCCAAAUAUCUCAUCCACCGUCCACUCAAAUCACAAUCAGACGGCUAUCAUUCUCCCUUCACACAAGUUUCUAAUUUUUCAAAGCUCACAGAAACGUUACUCUCAAUUCUCUCUCUCAUUGUUCUUCGUCUCUACACAAUGAAGUUUUGGAGGCCAAAAUCUAUUUCAUUGCAUCUAAAUUUUGAAAUCCCGCUCCUCAUCCCAAACUUUAAUUAUCCGCCUUCUUUACAUUUGCAAGGAGAGAACCAGAGUAAAAAAGUGAGUUAGAGAUAGGACCUGAUCGGCGGCUAGGGUUUCGAGGUUAUUUUCUCAGGCCACGACAAGGUAAUAUUAGGGAUGCGUGUGAAGGCUGAUACAUGGGCGGCUAUAAGGUUCGGACCACCCGGUAGGUUCAGUUCCCAAAUGGUGCAUUUGCAAGCAAGUUACCACGAAGCUGCUUCAUCGUAAAGUUCCCAAAUUAUGGCACAGGAACCAAAGAUGGGCAGACAAUGGUUGUACGAGAAGGUGACAAAGUGUGUGCUUUCAGAUGUCUAUGUGGAUACAAUAGCUACUCAUUUGCGUGAAAGAUGGAGUGCAAACCAAAACGCCAACGCCAACAAAAAGAAGAGCCUAUUGGGGAACUCCAAAGACACCAGUGAGGAUGAUUCAGUCUGAGAUCAAGCAUUUUAUCGAAAGCUCAGUUGCGUCUAGCUAAGCUGGAUCAGUUAAGGCAAGCAGCCAGAAUAGGGGUUGAGGUGCGUAUUAAGAAGGAAUGUGCAAAGCUAGGGACAAAAGUGGAAUUGCGCGUACGUCAAGCAGAGACAAACAGAAUGAGAAUCUUGAAGUGGAAUUGCGCCAAUGGAAACCGCCCUGCUCGACUGGGCCAUCAACCUGAUGGCUGAUGUCGUCCAAUACGAGCAUCUCAACAAGAUGAAUUCGCACAAUAUCGGAAUGGUUUUCGCCCCAAGUAUGAUCUAGGUUCGUUAUUUUAAUCUUGAAGGUUUGGCCAUUUUUUGCGACUUUCAUCCAAAGGUACUGCAAUGUAGUCCAGAAGAUGCUAAUCUCUUGUAGUGCAACUGGAAUGUAGUCCAGAUGAUGCUAAUGAAAAAUUUAAGAGCUUUAAAAGUUAUGUUGAAACGUUAAAAGGGAAGGGAUUUUUGGCAAGCUCUUCUUUGUGCGCGUAAGAGGCGGUUCUACUAGAUUUCAACACUCCAACAACGAGGGGAUUUAUGGCGGAUCAGGUGUUGGAGGGUAGCAGCGGAUCUGGUAUAAGGUUUUGGUUUGAUUAGGAACUAUGUAAAAGCAGGUUAGGCUCCUCGAUUAUAUUGGCAGGAGAAUGAAAAUGGGCUGCAAAUGAGUGAUAAGUCGAUUACAGAGACUGUACUUGGAAGAAGCUCUCUUCGUUUGCACGAGUGGGGACGUGAUCCGGUUAGUUCUAGUAGCACAAUGGGUGCUACUAAAAAAUCAAAGCUUCUUGCUUACGAAGAGCCGUGGAUGCUUACGAUGAGCUGGUGGAAGAACUUGGAACCGUGAAAGGUAAAUGUGCAAUUAUGGAACAGGCGUUGAUUGAGAAUAAUAUCAUGCCUCGUCCAUCAAGCACACUAGAACAAUCCCAAUGUGAUGCAUUAGAGGGUGUUGAAAACAUUGAUGAGUGAAAGCGAUUUAGUAGAUUCUAUAACUCGUUAUUAACAUGUAAACACUUUUAGUUUUGUUUGUUUUAGUAUUUAAAUUUCUAUAACUACCACUUUUAUUUGGUUGUUUGUAAGAUUGAUGUUUAUUAGUUUAAUUAAGAAUCGUAAUUUGUUCA